AGCGAACGCUGGCGGCAUGCCUAACACAUGCAAGUCGAACGGAUCCUUCGGGAUUAGUGGCGGACGGGUGUGUAACGCGUGGGAACGUGCCCUUUGGUUCGGCAUAACUCAGGGAAACUGGUGCUAAUACCGGAUGUGCCCUUCGGGCGAAAGAUUUAUCGCCAUUGGAGGGGCCCGCGUCUGAUUAGCUAGUUGGUGGGGUAACGGCCCACCAAGGCGACGAUCAGUAGCUGGUCUGAGAGGAUGAUCAGCCACACUGGGACUGGGAGACGGCCCAGAUCCCUCGGGAUGGCAGAAGUGGGGAAGCUUGAGCAAUGGGCGAAAGCCUGACGCAGCCGUGCCGCGUGAAUGUUGAAGGUGUUAGGAUUGAAAGAUUCUUUAAGCGGGGACGUUAAGGACGGAACCAGCAAAAGAGGCUCGGGCAAACUUGGU
rnacentral:rRNA from 1 species